AAGGACUUCGACCGGGAGGUGAGAAGCCGGGUCGAGCACCUGCGGGCGAACGGGGAGCGCCUGGUCAAGGAGAUGGAGAACCUGUACGACGUGGAGCUCCUCCGGCUGCCCCUGGCUCUCCGCGAGAUGAACUGGCUGCAGUUCUUCGCUGAAGGGGGAAGCCGGAAAGUCCUGGAAGAGGCUGUGACGGUAGGUAUCCGGCACGAAUAGGA